UUGUGAUGUGCACUCAUUUCUGCAGCUGUACAGUCGUCAAUGAUGUACGGAGACCCAGGCGGCUCAAGAAAAACGUGACUCCCCGUCAAUGGCCGCGUGGAGACGAGAGGAAAACAACCCAUGGGCGACGGGUGAUCGGCGAUUCUCCUUCCCGUCCGUCGUCCGAUCCGUUGCGUCGCUCGCACGGGUGACGGCCGCCAUCACGCAUCCAAGCGUCCCCGCCGAACGUCCGUCCGCCUCCAGAAAAGACAUCCAUCGUCUCUCCCUACAGGCUACGGCGAUGCUUCGUGGGAUUUUGGAGCCUCGUCGUCAUUCCCGAGGGCCCUGCGGCGGUGCUGACCGGCGAUGCCGACGGCAGCAGGGGGUGCGACGCCGGCUCUGCUUGCGCGAUUGGGCAAUGGUCAUGGGGGUGGCAUGGCUUCGGCCGGCAGUUCCAGCAACCAUGGGGAGCGGCGAGGCAUUUGGGACUAUCCCAUGUACGGUCAGCAGCAUCAUUGCUAUGUCGUUGUGGCCCUUGUGUUUUCAAUGUCGUCGGGGAUUGCUGAUAUGAUGAAAACUACAUGAAAAUUUGGGAUGGGUUGUUCAUCUCAACACAGCGGAUUGUCAUUUAGGAGAGGAAGAUGAACACAUGAGUAUCCUAGUCCUGCCAUAUGCCAAUGUUUCUUUGUUAUGUGACUGUGAAUGUAAAAUAUGGUAUUUGUACGGACCAUAAUUGUUUUGGUUACGCUUGAACUGUCACACAA